rnacentral:piRNA from 1 species
UGCCUGUCCCUGUUACCUUUCAAUAAGACA